rnacentral:rRNA from 1 species
CCUGCCAGUAGUCAUAUGCUUGUCUCAAAGACUAAGCCAUGCACGUCUAAGUACAAACUAAAUGAUGGUGAAACUGCAAAUGGCUCAUUACAACGGUUAUGAUGUACCCGGGAGUUCCGAUGGAUAUUUCCAGUAACACUAGAACUAAUACAUGCUCCUGCGUUUAUUAGUUUCGCACAGUCCGUCGCUGAGUCAUGGUAAACAGUUGAUCGACUCGACGUCCCGGAACAGUUUCCGCCCCAUCAGCUUCGAUGGUUGGGUAUUGGCCUACCAUUGCAACAACGGGUAACGAGGAAUUAGGGUUUGAUUUCGGAGAGGGAGCCUGAGAAACGGCUACCACAUCUACGGAUGGCAGCAGGCGCGCAAAUUACCCAAUGCAGACACUGUGAGGUAGUGACGAGAAAUAAUAAAGCGGGACUUCUGUUUCGCUAUUAUAAUGAGGAAUAACCAAAGGUCAUUCCGAUUAGCAACUGAUGGGAAAGUCUGGUGCCAGCAGCCGCGGUAAUACCAGCGUCAGUAGCAUAUAUUAAAAUUGUUGCAGUUAAAACGUCCGUAGUCUGUACGUCGUCACAAACUCACUGCAGUCUUCCGUUUUCUUCAUUGAAUGCGGUAGUUUCUGCAGUCACUCCCUUGAUCAAAUUAGGUUGUUCAAGGUAGACCAAGUCUUCAUAUUUUCACAUGGAAUUGGGUGAGGGAACUUAAGAGUUUAAGUUUCUCGUCUUAGGAUCAUCCGGGGUCAUUCGUACUCGUCCGCGAGAGGUGAAAUUCUUGGACCGGACGAAGACGACCAGCAGCGAAAGCAUCUGUCAGGGAUGUUUUCUGCGACAAAGGACGAAGGUCAGGGUAUCGAAGACGAUUAGAUACCGUCGUAGUCCUGACUGUAAACUAUGCCAACUUGGGUCUUGCUGGGCGAUGCUUUGUGAGACCCACACAGAAAUGAAAGUGUAUGGGUUCUGGGGGUAGUAUGGACACAAGUCUGAAACUUGAAGGAAUUGACGGAAGAGCACCAUAAGACGUGGAGCUUGCGGCUUAAUUUGACUCAACGCGGGAAAACUUACCAGGUCAAGACAUGGGCGUGAUUGACAGGCUAAUGACUUUUCUCGAUUCCAUGGAUGGUGGUGCAUGGUCGCACUUAGUUGGUGCAGUGAUUUGUCAGGUUUAUUCCGGUAACGAACGAGACCUCGGCCUUGUAAAUAGCUACGCUGCUUACAGGGACAUUGGCGGCUACGCCAAGGAAGCUCGAGGCAAUUGCAGAUCUGGAAUGCCCUUAGAUGUCCUGGGUCGCACGCGUGCUACAAUGACGCCACGAACGAGUUUGCGUGAUGAAAGUCACGCAUAAUCAGCAGUCGGCGUCUUAAGGGAUAGUCUCUUGUAACUGUGGGACUCCAACUAGGAAUGUCUCGUAAGCACAAGUCAACAUCUUGUGUUGAUUACGUCCCUGCUCUUUGUACACACCGCCCGUCGCUCCUACCGAUCGAGUGUUUAGGUGAAUUUGAUGGACGUAAGGAAGUCAAAUAAACCUGAGCACUUAGAGGAAGGAGAAGUCGUAACAAGGUUUCCGUAGGUGAACCUGCGGAAGGAUCAUUCCAUUAGCGCGCGAUUCAUUGGUUCUCAACCUGCGUAAGCAGCGUAAUAAAGGUUUUUUAGCUUUGGAGGUGUCGGGUACUGAUCCGAGGAAGGACGCAGUUACACGCGAUAUUCAACCUGAAUCGCAAAACUGCGGAUGGUCGGGUGUCUGAAUGCUCAAAGCCGGAGCUACUGGUCACGCUCUAACACACCCCUUCGGUGUCUCACUUCCGCGUGAUGUGAGAAUUCCAAAAUAUUUUCACGUGACCACUAGCGGGGCAUGUAGUUAAUUUAAGCUUAUAAGUUAAUACACAAAGAAACUAAAUAGGAUGGACCGAGUAGUGGCGAAUGAAAAGUCCAAAGACCGAUCCGAAUUCAAGUUGUGGAUCCUACACUUCGGAAGACUCCAAAUCACCUGGAACGGUGGGCCGUAGAGAGUGAUAGCCUCUUUAGAGUCGGAAGAAGCGUAAACAGACUGAGUAGUAUUUGUUGGGAAGCAAAUACGAACGGGUGAUAAAAGUCAUCCAAGUCUAAACAGAUCAGUACACCGAUAGCAAACAAGUAUUGCGAAUAAAACAUGAAAAGUACUCCUGGAGGAGGGUUAAACUCCUAAAAAGCUAAAAAUAAAGUCGUUGGUGUCGCUGCGGGUUCAAUCCUGCUCCAUCUGUCUUUUAGACUUUUGGCUACCGACAUCAACCUACCCGUCUUGAAACACGGACCAAGG